rnacentral:lncRNA from 1 species
GCCACACAGAACAUGCUACUAAGAUUGCCGUGCCCCUUUACGCAGACGUCGCUCGCAAGUCUACGACAAGCGCCCGCAUCCGGCCACUCCGCCGGGCCGGCCUGGUGGACCAUGAUGAACGGGGUCGGCGGCGCGCUGUACGAGGAACCGCAC